UAAGUGCUUACUAAAAGGCCAGGCCAGGCUAUCACCUCAGUUGUCAUCCACUUCUUUUCUGUCUGUUUGUUUUUGAGGCAGAGUCUCUCACUGACCUGGAAUUCACCAAGAAGGUCAAGCUGGCUGGUCAAAGAGUCAUGGAAUGUACUUGUACCAGCCUCCCUAGCAUUGAGAGUACAAGUGCAUACCCCCACACUUGUACUUAUUUUUAACAUGGGUUCCAGUGGGUUGGGCUCGGGUCUUCAUGUUUUCUAGGAAGGCACUUCACUGACUGAGCCAUCUCCAGCCAAUGGCAGUUGUUUCUGUGGAGUUUCCCAAACAAGACUGGACCUGUGACUUACAGUUCCAGUCCUGUUCACAGGGUGGGUUGCUCUCUCCAGAUGGGCCUUUCUGUGGUGCUGGGAAGUUGAAAUCCUGGGGUUGGAAGGGCUUGUCCUUGCUGCUGGCCACCAAGGUCUGUUGUUUUCACUGCCAAGCCACUGUCUCACAGCAUCAUCAAGAGCAGCACUUGGAAGAGGGUUCUCCAGCUUCUCUUGGGAGCCAUCCCAACUCAGCUCACAGCAAGGCAACUUCAAGAGCAUCCUGUUGACACUCUCUCUUGACAUGUGGCAUGUCCUGUCCAACAAACAUCUUUUGUGUCCUGUGCAGGUGGAAUAGUGUUGCCAUCCUCUGGACCCUUGUACCUCCAGCUUGUCUGUCUGCAGUGGGCAGGCCCUUGAGGUCUACCUCAAACUCUGUGGCUGGAAAAAUGACCCAGUCUAUCUGAGCAGUGGUGAACUCCCCAGAUUGGUCUGGUCACAUCAACUAAAAUAGGACAAAAGUAGGAGACACCAAUGACCAGAUGCAUGAAGAACAAAGAAGGAGGAAAGCAGUCCUGAAAAUAGAAAUCACACCAAAAAAUAGAUGAUGAGUUGAUGAUGCCCCGAGGCCUUUGUUCAGGAACAUGCUGGCACUGUAAAGAGGAACACGACAGUACCACAUUCUUCUGUGAAGUGUGAGCGGCUUUUUCCUAAAGAAUUCUCCCUAGAGAAGGCCUUGUGGGUUGUGGCUAGCUCUGCUUUCCGUUUUUAUCCAGACGUGUUCUUUAAGAUGCAAAGCCUGAAAUCCAGAGACUCCACCUACUGCAAGUCAUAUCUCCACCAACUGAAGGACCAGCUACAAGCCCAGGGCUGUGGGUCUUCAAACAAAGCCUUAUUAACAUGCUAGUCUGCUGUCCACUGAGCCAAUGAAGCAAUUAGGAGAGCCUCUACAACUAUAAGAUGAUAACAGCUACUGGAUCGCAAAGCUAACUUACAUUCAGAAGAAACUGUCAACUGUGGACCUUCAGAGAUCUUCCUCAAGGUUCCCUUCAUGUUACUGUGAUUUGUAAUGGCUUGUUGACCUAGAGCCUUGCUUCUAACAUCUCUAAAGGGGCUUCUUUAUGUAGAUGACACCAUGCUAACCUGGGAAUGUUUUCUCAAAGGUGGAUAGGUGCGGCAAAAGGAAAGAGAAUAGGAGAUGAAUCUACACAAGGUGCAAGGUCUAGGCUCAGCUGAAAAUCCUUGAGAUUAUUAUGGCCUGGUAAAG
ensembl:lncRNA